UGGGGAAUUUUGGACAAUGGGCGAAAGCCUGAUCCAGCAAUGCCGCGUGUGUGAAGAGGGCCUUCGGGUUGUAAAGCACUUUUGUCCGGAAAGAAAUCCUUGGCUCUAAUACAGUCGGGGGAUACGGUACCGGAAGAAUAAGCACCGGCUAACUACGUGCCAGCAGCCGCGGUAAUACGUAGGGUGCAAGCGUUAAUCGGAAUUACUGGGCGUAAAGCGUGCGCAGGCGGUUUGCUAAGACCGAUGUGAAAUCCCCGGGCUCAACCUGGGAACUGCAUUGGUGACUGGCAGGCUAGAGUAUGGCAGAGGGGGGUAGAAUUCCACGUGUAGCAGUGAAAUGCGUAGAGAUGUGGAGGAAUACCGAUGGCGAAGGCAGCCCCCUGGGCCAAUACUGACGCUCAUGCACGAAAGCGUGGGGAGCAAACAGGAUUAGAUACCCUGGUAGUCCACGCCCUAAACGAUGUCAACU
rnacentral:rRNA from 1 species